rnacentral:rRNA from 1 species
UACGGAGGUUGCAAGCGUUAUCCGGAUUUAUUGGGUUUAAAGGGUGCGUAGGCGGGAUAAUAAGUCAGUGGUGAAAACCUGCAGCUUAACUGUAGAACUGCCAUUGAUACUGUUAUUCUUGAGUAUAGUUGAGGUAGGCGGAAUGUGUAGUGUAGCGGUGAAAUGCUUAGAUAUUACACAGAACACCGAUUGCGUAGGCAGCUUACUAAACUAUAACUGACGCCGAGGCACGAAAGCGUGGGGAUCAAACAGG